GAUGAACGCUGGCGGCGUGCCUAAUACAUGCAAGUCGAGCGAGCAGACGAGGAGCUUGCUCCUCUGACGUUAGCGGCGGACGGGUGAGUAACACGUGGAUAACCUACCUAUAAGACUGGGAUAACUUCGGGAAACCGGAGCUAAUACCGGAUAAUAUAUUGAACCGCAUGGUUCAAUAGUGAAAGACGGUUUUGCUGUCACUUAUCGAUGGAUCCGCGCCGCAUUAGCUAGUUGGUAAGGUAACGGCUUACCAAGGCGACGAUGCGUAGCCGACCUGAGAGGGUGGUCGGCCACACGGGAACUGGGACACGGUCCAGACUCCUACGGGAGGCAGCAGUAGGGAAUCUUCCGCAAUGGGCGAAAGCCUGACGGAGCAACGCCGCGUGAGUGAUGAAGGUCUUCGGAUCGUAAAACUCUGUUAUUAGGGAAGAACAAAUGUGUAAGUAACUAUGCACGUCUUGACGGUACCUAAUCAGAAAGCCACGGCUAACUACGUG
rnacentral:rRNA from 1 species